CUCAGGAUAAGGGGAGGGAAUAUGUGGGAUAUAACUGUGAUGUGAUUGGUUGUUUUAUACCUCCCUGUGGGCGGUCCUGGAUUUGCAAAGACUGUAAUAAAAACCAGGCUGGGUGUGCUAGCACCAGAGUUCCUGUUUUAACCUUCAAAGUGAAGUGUCAUCUCAUUAUUGGAGAAGGAUUUAUUGUAUGCUGUUCCAGUUUGCCUGCUAGGAGAGUAAACCUAUUCGUAUGGUUCCUAUUCAACUGUCUACAGCAUUCAUAUGCUUGGGAGAAUUUAUUUGUUUCUCCGGUUCGGUGAUUGUGGUGUCUGCCAGAGUGCUUGGAGUCCUCAGGAAGCGCUAGGAGCAUCCUUCAACGGAGGUACCCAGUCGGGGUGCCAGGCGAUCCGUUACAUUGGUGGCAAGCGGUAGGAUGGCGUCCUAGUGGGAGGUAAAGCAGCUCAGAGACACAGUUCGUUUGGAGUUACAAAGUGAGGGCAACGCUAGUAUCCGUACAGCGCCCCUAUCUACAAAGGAACCAACGGCGGCAGAGCAAGCAUGGCGCCUGGCUAUACUCAGGAGCGGUUUGACAGAGAGGUUGCCAUGCGGUUGGCUUUCUUUGGACCCAACCCCGCUGAGGAAUACGUACAGUUCGUGAGGAAAUUAACAGCAGAGUACCUGCAGUUCAUGGCAGAUCCAUCCAAAGGUAUUGGCCGCCCUAUCCGGUGGCAGAGUGCAUUACGGGGACUCAAAGGUGUACCCCAGGGAGCUGAAGAUGUCGUCCUUCCUCCCCAGCGCCAGUGUGUACCCCAGGGAGCAGAAGGUGUUGUCCUUCCUCCCCAGCCGCAGUGUGAGUCCCAGGGAGCCAAAGGUGUCGUCCUUCCUCCCCAGCGGCAGUAUGUGUUCCAGGGAGCGGAAGGUGUUGUCCUUCCUCCCCAGCGGCAGUAUGUAUCCCAGGGAGCUGAAGGUGUCGUCCUUCCUCCCCAGCGGCAGUGUGUACCCCAGGGAGCAGAAGGUGCUGUCCUUCCUCCCCAGCGGCAGUGUGUGUCCCAGGGAGCAGAAGGUGCCAUCCUCCCUCCCCAGUGGCAGUGUGUAUCCCAGGGAGCAGAAGGUGCUGUCCUUCCUCCCCAGCGGCAGUGUGUAUCCCAGGGAGCCAAAGGUGUCGUCCUUCCUCCCCAGCGGCAGUGUGUACCCCAGGGAGCAGAAGGUGCCGUCCUUCCUCCCCAGCGGCAGUGUGUAUCCCAGGGAGCCAAAGGUGUCAUCCUUCCUCCCCAGCGGCAGUGUGUACCCCAGGGAGCUGAAGGUGCCGUCCUUCCUCCCCAGCGGCAGUGUGUAACCCAGGAAGCAGAGACCGUCUGUCUCGCACACCAGCCGCAGGACAAAAUAUUGAAAGGGGAGACAGUUGGUCCCCCUCUCCACCAGCAAAAAGAGUGUCAGGGAGAGGAGCAGGUUACCCCCUCUCCCCAGCGGCAGUCUACAGUUCAGAGAGAGGAGCUUGUUACACCCUCUCUCCAGCGGCAGCCUAACCCACCAAGGGGAGAUGUUAAGCGCCACAACUAUGCAGAUGGGACCGUAGUCUCUGCACUUGCAGCCCCAGGGGCAGGGACGGUCGGUCCUGUCCCCCAGCCACAGAGCAGUGUAUCCAGAGGGGAGACAGUCGGUCUCCCCCUCCCCCAACCAGGCUCCAACCAGGCUACUUCGGUGGUAGCGCUGGCACCCGGGCAGAGUACCGCUGGUCUCUGCCCACUCAGCAACCCACCAAGGCAGUCUACCAGCCCCCCGCACAGCUGUGGUGAGGCACCUGGACAUGGACAAGUUGCUAUUUUAUCCAGGUGUAGUAACCAGUUAUUGUGGGUGGGCUAUAUUGCUGUUUGUGCUUCGUGGGUGGGUUGCUGGACUAACCAGGGCACUGACCGGCAGGAGGUCAGAUACCCUGUUAGUCUGGAUGGUAAAGGGGAUAAAUGUGGCGAAACCGGCCUCGCCACGUGUCCUUGGAGGGGGCUGCUUGCCCGCCUCUUGCCUUUGGACUAUGGACUAGACUUUAUGUGAAUGUGUUAACCCUGAUAGCUAUGCCAUGGAGCCCAUUCGUGUAGUUAAAGACUUCGGCUCCAUGUCAUUGAACUGUGUGAAUAGGAUCUGAGCGCUAUUCGGUAGUUUUGUGUGCUCAGAUCCCAGCUAUCUGGGGAUAUGUGAAAUGUCUGUGUUAUGUGUAAAAGGUGACUUUAUGUAUUUUAAAGUGUUUUAUGUCUUUUUGCAACCAUGUGCUCAAUGGAGUCUGCCUCUAUCCCUGGAUAAUUGGAUUACUUUCCCCAUUGUCUCCAGGAUAGAGGGCUCUGUAAAACCUGUUUGAGCCAGAUAGCCAUGUGCCAGCCAGGGCCCAAAAGAUACUUUUACUAACUUUUGAACCCCUAGUCGGAUUCAUGCCAUUUUUUUAAUAUGUUGUUCCCCUGAAUGGAUUGAUUGUGAAUAUGUAAUUUUAUGUGAAUGUCAUGUAUGGUUUUAAAGUUAUGAAAGUUGGGUAGAAAGUAUGUUUUAACUGUAUGUGUAAUUGAGUUUCCUCUCAGGAUAAGGGGAGGGAAUAUGUGGGAUAUAACUGUGAUGUGAUUGGUUGUUUUAUACCUCCCUGUGGGCGGUCCUGUAUUUGCAAGACUGUAAUAAAAACCAGGCUGGGUGUGCCAGCACCUGAGUUCCUGUUUUAACCCUCAAAGUGAAGUGUUGUCUCAUUAUUGGGGGAAGGAUUUAUUGUAUGCUGUUCCAGUUUGACUGCCAGGAGAGUAAACCUAUUCGUAUGGUUCCUAUUCAACUGUCUACAGCAUUCAUAUGCUUGGGAGAAUUUAUUUGUUUCUC